GAUGAACGCUAGCUACAGGCUUAACACAUGCAAGUCGAGGGGCAGCAUGGUCUUAGCUUGCUAAGGCCGAUGGCGACCGGCGCACGGGUGAGUAACACGUAUCCAACCUGCCGUCUACUCUUGGACAGCCUUCUGAAAGGAAGAUUAAUACAAGAUGGCAUCAUGAGUCCACAUGUUCACAUGAUUAAAGGUAUUCCGGUAGACGAUGGGGAUGCGUUCCAUUAGAUAGUAGGCGGGGUAACGGCCCACCUAGUCUUCGAUGGAUAGGGGUUCUGAGAGGAAGGUCCCCCACAUUGGAACUGAGACACGGUCCAAACUCCUACGGGAGGCAGCAGUGAGGAAUAUUGGUCAAUGGGCGAGAGCCUGAACCAGCCAAGUAGCGUGAAGGAUGACUGCCCUAUGGGUUGUAAACUUCUUUUAUAAAGGAAUAAAGUCGGGUAUGGAUACCCGUUUGCAUGUACUUUAUGAAUAAGGAUCGGCUAACUCCGUGCCAGCAGCCGCGGUAAUACGGAGGAUCCGAGCGUUAUCCGGAUUUAUUGGGUUUAAAGGGAGCGUAGAUGGAUGUUUAAGUCAGUUGUGAAAGUUUGCGGCUCAACCGUAAAAUUGCAGUUGAUACUGGAUAUCUUGAGUGCAGUUGAGGCAGGCGGAAUUCGUGGUGUAGCGGUGAAAUGCUUAGAUAUCACGAAGAACUCCGAUUGCGAAGGCAGCCUGCUAAGCUGCAACUGACAUUGAGGCUCGAAAGUGUGGGUAUCAAACAGGAUUAGAUACCCUGGUAGUCCACACGGUAAACGAUGAAUACUCGCUGUUUGCGAUAUACAGCAAGCGGCCAAGCGAAAGCGUUAAGUAUUCCACCUGGGGAGUACGCCGGCAACGGUGAAACUCAAAGGAAUUGACGGGGGCCCGCACAAGUGGAGGAACAUGUGGUUUAAUUCGAUGAUACGCGAGGAACCUUACCCGGGCUUAAAUUGCAGAUGAAUUACGGUGAAAGCCGUAAGCCGCAAGGCAUCUGUGAAGGUGCUGCAUGGUUGUCGUCAGCUCGUGCCGUGAGGUGUCGGCUUAAGUGCCAUAACGAGCGCAACCCUUGUUGUCAGUUACUAACAGGUUCCGGUGAGGACUCUGACAAGACUGCCAUCGUAAGAUGUGAGGAAGGUGGGGAUGACGUCAAAUCAGCACGGCCCUUACGUCCGGGGCUACACACGUGUUACAAUGGGGGGUACAGAGGGCCGCUACCACGCGAGUGGAUGCCAAUCCCAAAAACCUCUCUCAGUUCGGACUGGAGUCUGCAACCCGACUCCACGAAGCUGGAUUCGCUAGUAAUCGCGCAUCAGCCACGGCGCGGUGAAUACGUUCCCGGGCCU
rnacentral:rRNA from 1 species